UACGUAGGGUGCGAGCGUUAGUCGGAAUUACUGGGCGUAAAGCGUGCGUAGACGGCUAUCUAAGUCGGGUGUGAAAGCCCCGGGCUCAACCUGGGAAUUGCAUUCGAGACUGAAUAGCUAGGGUACGGUAGAGGGAAGUGGAAUUUCCGGUGUAGCGGUGAAAUGCGUAGAUAUCGGAAGGAACAUCAGUGGCGAAAGCGACUUCCUGGACCAGUACCGACGUCAGGCACGAAAGCGUGGGGAGCAAACAGG
rnacentral:rRNA from 1 species